rnacentral:lncRNA from 1 species
AUUUUUUUUUUCUCUACUGCUCGUUUACUAAUUAAAAAAAAUUACAAUUUACAGAACGAACGACUUAAAGAAUUUGUUUUAAAAUAUUGUAACAAAAAAAUAUACGAAGACUUAAUAACCCCGUAUUGCUACCAUCACUUUGGCUAUUCUCCUGAACACAUAUUAAUGAAAUCUUAUUUCCCUAAUUUUUUGCAAAGAUUAGAGAACGAAAAAAGUCUGUUCAAAUCUAUUAAAUGUCUUAAUGGUGAUAAUAAUAAAAAUAGCAAUUUGUUUCAAAAAAAUAAAAAAGUUGUUAGGUUUAAAGAAGGAAACGUGUUAUUAACAAACAAACUCAUUGACCACUUCGAUUUAUACCCUAACACUCAACACUUUAGAAAUAUACAAAAUUUGAAAAUUAUAUGUAGAAAAGGAAAAGUUAAGGUGUCUAUAGGAAGAAAUGUAAUACGUUGUGAUGAUGUUGUUCUUUGUCUGAAUCCUUUAGAAUUAAAAAAUAUGUUGAAAAAAAAAAAAUUUCAAAUUGAAAACAAAAAGGUUUUAAUAAAACAUUUAAAUAGUUUUCGCUGUAAGAGGAUUAAAAUAACAAAUGUAUGUUACAAAAAGAAUGUUCUCCCCUUAUCUCAAUCACUGGAGUCAUUAAUGCUAGUUAAACAGAAUGAGAAGAAUAAAAUUAUUUCUUUAUUAUAUGACCAUAAUAUAUUUUCCCAAAUGGGCUUAAAUAGUUCGACAGAGAAGACUUCUACACAUGAAAUUUUGUAUGAAACGAGAUUGCGAUUUAUGAGCUCCGAAACGAAGGAUGAAAAAUGUGUUGAAGAAAUAAACACUUUUCUUCAAGACAUUUUAAAAUUGAAAGAAGGUCCUGAUUUGGUUAUUGGGGACACAUACAACGUAUUCCUUUUCAACGAAAGACUUGAUAAAGCCUUCAAAAAAUUAAUAAACAAAAAAUAUAAACAAUUAAAAAUUUUUUGGAUCUUUUUUUUUUUUAAAAACUUAGAAUUUUGUUUACGUGAAACUAAAAAUUUUUGUAAUAAUUAUUAUUCUUAAGCAAAUUUUUAAAAUAAUUAUUAUUAUUAUUAUUAUUAUUAUUAUUUUUUUUUUUUUUUUUCUUUCUUGUUUCUUGUUUCAAAUGGCACCUUUUACUGUUUUUAAGAACCUUUUUGCAAUGUUAAAACAUAAGAAAUAAUUUUGUAUAGUGUUUUUAUUUUAUUUUUUUUUUUUUUUUUUGUUUUGAAAUGAAAUGAAAUAUUGUGGCUCAUUUUUGCUUCAUUUACUUAGUUCUGCUUUAUUUGCUCAUUUUUGCUUUAUUUGAUUUUUUUUUUUUUUUUUUUUACUUUUGCCUUGUUAAAUUAUGCCACAUGGCAAAAGUAUAUGUUAUCCCAUUAACGAGUAUAUAUAUAUACAUACUAUUUUUUUUACUACUAACACAUAAAACGAAAUAUUCUAUACAGUAUUGCCAUUAUUCCACCCCUCAAAAAAAACAUAUAUUUUCAGUUCUAACUAAAAAAAAAAUAAAAUUAAAAGUUGAAAAUGAAAAACCCA